UACGUAGGGCGCAAGCGUUGUCCGGAUUCACUGGGUGUAAAGGGUGCGCAGGCGGGCUGGCAAGUCAGUGGUGAAAUCUCACAGCUUAACUGUGAAACUGCCAUUGAUACUGCCAGUCUUGAGUUCGGGAGAGGUUGAUGGAAUUCCAGGUGUAGCGGUGAAAUGCGUAGAUAUCUGGAAGAACACCGGUGGCGAAGGCGGUCAACUGGCCCGGAACUGACGCUGAGGCACGAAAGCGUGGGGAUCAAACAGGAUUAGAAACCCCAGUAGUCC
rnacentral:rRNA from 1 species